GUAGGGAAUCUUCCACAAUGGGCGCAAGCCUGAUGGAGCAACACCGCGUGAGUGAAGAAGGGUUUCGGCUCGUAAAGCUCUGUUGUUAAAGAAGAACACGUAUGAGAGUAACUGUUCAUACGUUGACGGUAUUUAACCAGAAAGUCACGGCUAACUACGUGCCAGCAGCCGCGGUAAUACGUAGGUGGCAAGCGUUAUCCGGAUUUAUUGGGCGUAAAGAGAGUGCAGGCGGUUUUCUAAGUCUGAUGUUAAAGCCUUCGGCGUAACCGGAGAAGUGCAUCGGAAACUGGAUAACUUGAGUGCAGAAGAGGGUAGUGGAACUCCAUGUGUAGCGGUGGAAUGCGUAGAUAUAUGGAAGAACACCAGUGGCGAAGGCGGCUACCUGGUCUGCAACUGACGCUGAGACUCGAAAGCAUGGGUAGCGAACAGGAUUAGAUACCCGUGUAGUCC
rnacentral:rRNA from 1 species